GUCGAACGGCAGCACGGUGCUUGCACCUGGUGGCGAGUGGCGAACGGGUGAGUAAUACAUCGGAACAUGUCCUGUAGUGGGGGAUAGCCCGGCGAAAGCCGGAUUAAUACCGCAUACGAUCUAUGGAUGAAAGCGGGGGACCUUCGGGCCUCGCGCUAUAGGGUUGGCCGAUGGCUGAUUAGCUAGUUGGUGGGGUAAAGGCCUACCAAGGCGACGAUCAGUAGCUGGUCUGAGAGGACGACCAGCCACACUGGGACUGAGACACGGCCCAGACUCCUACGGGAGGCAGCAGUGGGGAAUUUUGGACAAUGGGCGAAAGCCUGAUCCAGCAAUGCCGCGUGUGUGAAGAAGGCCUUCGGGUUGUAAAGCACUUUUGUCCGGAAAGAAAUCCUUGGUUCUAAUAUAGCCGGGGGAUGACGGUACCGGAAGAAUAAGCACCGGCUAACUACGUGCCAGCAGCCGCGGUAAUACGUAGGGUGCGAGCGUUAAUCGGAAUUACUGGGCGUAAAGCGUGCGCAGGCGGUUUGCUAAGACCGAUGUGAAAUCCCCGGGCUCAACCUGGGAACUGCAUUGGUGACUGGCAGGCUAGAGUAUGGCAGAGGGGGGUAGAAUUCCACGUGUAGCAGUGAAAUGCGUAGAGAUGUGGAGGAAUACCGAUGGCG
rnacentral:rRNA from 1 species